GCCUAUGUAGCUCAGCGGUAGAGCACUUCCUUGGUAAGGAAGAGGUCCCGGGUUCAAGUCCCGGCAUCGGCU
rnacentral:tRNA from 4 species